GAGUUUGAUCCUGGCUCAGGAUUAACGCUGGCGGCGUGCCUAAAACAUGCAAGUCGAACGGAAGUACGCUUUCGGGCGUGCUUGAGUGGCAGACGGCUGAGUAACACGCGAGUGACCUAUCCCGUGGUGGGGAAUAACCGCCCGAAAGGGUGGCUAAGACCGCAUACGCCUCGUGCUGUCGGCAGUACGAAGCAAAGCCGCAAGGCGCCAGGGGCGGGGCUCGUGGCCCAUCAGCUGGUUGGUGGGGUAACGGCCUACCAAGGCGACGACGGGUAGCUGGUCUGAGAGGAUGACCAGCCAGACCGGGACUGAGAGACGGCCCGGACUCCUACGGGAGGCAGCAGUUAGGAAUCUUGCGCAAUGGGCGGAAGCCUGACGCASCGACGCCGCGUGCGGGACGACGGCCUUCGGGUUGUAAACCGCUUUUGCCGAGGACGAAGCUCUGACGGUACUCGGCGAAUCAGCCCCGGCUAACUACGUGCCAGCAGCCGCGGUAACACGUAGGGGGCAAGCGUUAUCCGGAUUUACUGGGCGUAAAGCGCGCGCAGGCGGCACGGUCAGUCUGCUGCGAAAGCCCCGGGCUCAACCCGGGAGGGACGGCGGAUACUGCGGUGCUUGAGGGCGGCAGAGGCAGGUGGAAUUCCGGGUGGAGCGGUGAAAUGCGUAGAGAUCCGGAGGAACACCGGUGGCGAAGGCGGCCUGCUGGGCCGACCCUGACGCUGAGGCGCGAAAGCGUGGGGAGCGAACCGGAUUAGAUACCCGGGUAGUCCACGCCCUAAACGAUGGACACUAGGUGCCGGGGGGUAUCGACCCCCCUCGGCGCCGGAGCCAACGCGGUAAGUGUCCCGCCUGGGGAGUACGGCCGCAAGGCUAAAACUCAAAGGAAUUGACGGGGGCCCGCACAAGCAGCGGAGCGUGUGGUUUAAUUCGACGCAACGCGCAAACCUUACCAGGGUUUGACAUGCUGGGUGGUAGAACYCGGAAACGGGAACGACCCGCAAGGGAGCCAGCACAGGUGCUGCAUGGCUGUCGUCAGCUCGUGCCGUGAGGUGUCGGGUUAAGUCCCGUAACGAGCGCAACCCUCGUCGGUAGUUAGCUGCCUACCGAGACUGCCGGGGCAACCCGGAGGAAGGCGGGGAUGACGUCAAGUCAGCAUGGCCCUUACGUCCUGGGCUACACACACGCUACAAUGGUCGGGACAACGGGAUGCCAGGUCGCGAGACCGCGCCAAUCCCUCAAAGCCGAUCUCAGUCGGAAUUGCAGGCUGCAACUCGCCUGCAUGAACGCGGAGUUGCUAGUAACCGCCGGUCAGCAUACGGCGGUGAAUACGUACCCGGGCCUUGUACACACCGCCCGUCACGUCAUGGGAGUUGGCAACACCCGAAGCCGCCGGAGCCAACCACGGGGUUCCCCUGUGGCGGCAGGCGUCGAGGGUGGGGCAAAUGACUGGGAGGAAGUCGCAACAAGGUAACCGUA
rnacentral:rRNA from 1 species